UGAGACCCUUGUGAGUACUGCCUAACUAU
rnacentral:piRNA from 1 species